UACGGGGGGGGCAAGCGUUGUUCGGAAUUACUGGGCGUAAAGGGUUCGUAGGUGGCCAACUAAGUCAGACGUGAAAUCCCUCAGCUUAACUGGGGAACUGCGUCUGAUACUGGAUGGCUUGAGUGUAGGAGAGGAAUGCGGAAUUCCAGGUGUAGCGGUGAAAUGCGUAGAUAUCUGGAGGAACACCGGUGGCGAAGGCGGCAUUCUGGACUACAACUGACACUGAGGAACGAAAGCCAGGGGAGCAAACGGG
rnacentral:rRNA from 1 species